GUAGGGAAUAUUGGACAAUGGGCGCAAGCCUGAUCCAGCCAUGCCGCGUGAGUGAAGAAGGCCCUCGGGUUGUAAAGCUCUUUUGUCCGGAAAGAAAAGCAUCGGGUUAAUACCCCGGUGUUCUGACGGUACCGGAAGAAUAAGCACCGGCUAACUUCGUGCCAGCAGCCGCGGUAAUACGAAGGGUGCAAGCGUUACUCGGAAUUACUGGGCGUAAAGCGUGCGUAGGUGGUUCGUUAAGUCUGAUGUGAAAGCACUGGGCUCAACCUGGGAAUGGCAUUGGNAACUGGCGGACUGGAGUGCGGUAGAGGGUAGCGGAAUUCCCGGUGUAGCAGUGAAAUGCGUAGAGAUCGGGAGGAACAUCCGUGGCUAAGGCGGCUACCUGGACCAGCACUGACACUGAGGCACGAAAGCGUGGGGAGCAAAC
rnacentral:rRNA from 1 species